rnacentral:rRNA from 1 species
GGGGACAACCCGCCGAAAGGCGGGCUAAACCCGCGUACAUGCCACCGGGGCAUCCCGGAGGCAGGAAAGGCUUCGGCCGGACAGGGAUGGGCAUGCGGCGCAUUAGGCAGUAGGCGGGGUAACGGCCCACCUAACCGACGAUGCGUAGGGGUUCUGAGAGGAAGGUCCCCCACACUGGUACUGAGACACGGACCAGACUCCUACGGGAGGCAGCAGUGAGGAAUAUUGGUCAAUGGUCGGGAGACUGAACCAGCCAAGCCGCGUGAGGGAUGAAGGUACAGAGUAUCGUAAACCUCUUUUGUCAGGGAACAAAGGCGGGGACGUGUCCCCGGAUGAGUGUACCUGAAGAAAAAGCAUCGGCUAACUCCGUGCCAGCAGCCGCGGUAAUGCGGAGGAUGCGAGCGUUAUCCGGAUUUAUUGGGUUUAAAGGGUGUGCAGGCGGUCUGUUAAGUCAGCGGUCAAAGCCCGGGGCUCAACCCCGGCCCGCCGUUGAAACUGGCAGUCUCGAGUUGGAGAGAAGUAUGCGGAAUGCGCGGUGUAGCGGUGAAAUGCAUAGAUAUCGCGCAGAACUCCGAUUGCGAAGGCAGCAUGCCGGCUCCACACUGACGCUGAGGCACGAAAGCGUGGGUAUCGAACAGGAUUAGAUACCCUGGUAGUCCACGCAGUAAACGAUGAA